UACGUAGGGUGCGAGCGUUAAUCGGAAUUACUGGGCGUAAAGCGUGCGCAGGCGGUUCGUUAUGUCCGUUGUGAAAGCCCCGGGCUCAACCUGGGAAUGGCAAUGGAAACUGGCGGGCUCGAGUGUGGCAGAGGGGGGUGGAAUUCCGCGUGUAGCAGUGAAAUGCGUAGAGAUGCGGAGGAACACCGAUGGCGAAGGCAGCCCCCUGGGCUAACACUGACGCUCAGGCACGAAAGCGUGGGGAGCAAACAGG
rnacentral:rRNA from 1 species